GGAGUUCGGGUCAUUAGUCGGGCAGUGAUGUAAGAGGGAGUUUGUCUAGGGGAAGACAAGAGUGGAGCGUCGCGGCGUGGUGCCUUAGUGCGGCCGGCCGCUCGUGGUGGCCGUAGGUCCGCCGCCGAUUGCCGUUCGCCGCUUGCAUCCGUCAAAGUACUACCCAUGACUCCUGAGAUUUCUAUACGACUUCUUACGCCUGACCUUUUGUCACUCACCAGGUCACUAAUGACUCAGUUCGGUCGGUUAACAAUUCUUCGCAGAAGGUUUCUUUUAGUCUGUUCAGGGGCUCACAAUGAAAGACGGGGCCGCUAGAGAUGGAAGACGUAACCGUUAGAUACCACGACAAACACGGCGACCUCAACCACGUCCUUACAACGAACUCCAAACCUAUUUGUUUUUCUAGUUUCUCCUACCACCGCAACAGACCCUCUACCCGUUUACUACGAGUACGUGGAACUCAACCAUUGUUAGACAAAACCCUAUGGGUGAGCCGAAGUCAAUACGACGAAUUCGAUAUGGCGUCUUUAUUCGCAUCUAAACAACAAAGUCUGAUAGACAACUCUAACACUGUUUUCAUUUCUUACAAAAGGACACAUAAACAGUGUUGGAACGGGGACACAAAGACUGAACCAACAUGUUCGACACACUACGAAGUUUGAAAUAUGAAUCCUCUACAAACCACUAGGUGAUCGAGGCGGUUUAAACUCCUAGACGUCUCGUCGAUAAGGGGGCGAGGCCCUAAAAAUUGAACGCGAGGCGGUCGAGGGCCUCGCUCUCACACCUCGCCUCCUCCCGGCUUGUCCGGGAAUCCGUUCGUUCGACUUUUGAUCAGUAGUUGCGUAGACAUCAACAGUAAACAUCCGUAAUGAUCAUGACGUGACCAUUCUUAUUGGACUUUGAAACAAGCUUCCAUCAACGUG
rnacentral:rRNA from 1 species